rnacentral:rRNA from 1 species
ACUCCUACGGGAGGCAGCAGUGGGGAAUAUUGGACAAUGGGCGCAAGCCUGAUCCAGCCAUACCGCGUGGGUGAAGAAGGCCUUCGGGUUGUAAAGCCCUUUUGUUGGGAAAGAAAUCCAGCCGGCUAAUACCUGGUUGGGGUGACGGUACCCAAAGAAUAAGCACCGGCUAACUUCGUGCCAGCAGCCGCGGUAAU